rnacentral:lncRNA from 1 species
UGGUUCAAUUCCGGUGUCUGGUGAGAAAACGGAUAUUACGGUUCAAUUUUUGGACUUUGGUUCCAAAUGUAACAACAGUCCAGAUAAAUUAAUCACAACAAAGAAGCCAGGGACGGGCAAGAGAGCAAGCAUCCUACCUAGGGUAGGAUUUGGGACUAAUGGUGGUGCACGAGUGUCGAGUAACUCUUUCAAGAACCGACGAAGAUCAGGUUUACCGACUCCAAUGACGGACGUCGGCAGUUGCUGACGCGUUGCCGCUGCAAUUAAAUGAAUAAUUAACGCGUUAUUAUCUUUAUUUCUGUAUUGACAAUAAAGUACCAUAACAAACAAUGAAUACACAAAAGAUAAUACUUGGCAGCCCAAUGGCUGAACUGUAAAUUAAAAUUUUAAAGGGACGACAUCAUCACAAGAAAUUAAGAACUGGAACACAUUCAUGUUCUAAAAUUGGUGUUGCUAACGCGCGUUAACUUUUACACUGACGGAUAUCGGAUAUUUUACGAACGAUAUUUUAGCCCAUGGCUAAAUCGAAUUAGGCCUAACACCUGUAACAACAGAUAUGCCUCCUACGCAUUACUGUAUAUUGAGAUGAUGUGCUGCUACAAAAAAAAACGAAUUGACGUAAUACGAGUCUCAACGACAGAAUUAAACUUUGGUAGCGCGUUCACAAUUGCAAUGAUUAUUUAUUAUGACAAAAGAAAUGCCUACAUUGUCAGUGGAUAACGUGUUAGCCAUGAAUUGCCAGAUGGAUCUACUGAUAUAGCAAAGCGAAGGAAACAGACAUUUUUUUUUGUAUCGAACACGUUAUGAACGAAAAGGAACUAUAUUCACAUUGAGCUUAUUCGACUGGUUCAUUUCGUUGACUGCGAAUUUUCGUUGGGUAUUAUUUUCGUUGGACUGGUUCGUAAAAAGACUUCGUUGAAAACGAAAAUUAACGUAACCAGAGUGCGUUAAUCAGCGUUAAUUUAUCCACGUGACCAAAACAAACAUGGCCGAAUGGUCAGUUUAGCAACAACAUUUGUGUUAAUAUAAUUUUAGAUUAAAUUUCAAAAAAAUGUCGAGUAUUUAUAAGUUUUCUAUUUUACCACUGUGCAGGUGGGCGUGGUUUAAUGAAGAACGACCAGUCGAAUACGGCCAAUAACUGAAUAGAAAUAUAACAAAUCAGUUGGAAGCCAGAACAAUAAACAAUGAUGGGCAUGUCGCCCAAUUGCCAAAGUAAUCUGAAAAAUGACUCUCGAUAUAUACUGUGAAUGGAGGCCUGGAAAAAAAAUUUAAACUGUGACGUGACAUGGAACAAAUAAAGCAAUACUGGGCCCUGAUGAAAAAAGCCAACCUGAAACAAAAUUGAGAAUGAGUUUUGACAAAUUGUGAGAAGCCUGAAAAUAAUACAGAGAGCACAAUAAUGCGCACCUUAUACACUUUUGUUCAUAUAAGCACAAUGGGGAAAAUUGGUGGCAAAAAAUCGCGAUAAAGUACAUGAAUACUAUGAAUGAAAGACACACCUUAGGCCUAAAUCAUAGAGACAUUAAAACUUAUCAAAAUUAAUUCCUUGCAGUCUGUAACAGGUUUAGUCUAAACUAAUUAAGAUGCAAAUUCACAUCUUAUUUCAAAUUGGUCGGUUUAAAGUCAUGCUUCGGAGGGGAAAAAAGUGCACACGGGCCAGCUGUAUACACUGGACCUCAAUUUUAAGUCCUUAUCCGAGAAGACUUGGUUCUACCAUGAACCGGGGAGGAGCGGCAGGAACCAUAGCCGAUAUUAAGGCUAGCGACACCCCUGUCCUUACCGCUCGGCCACUCGAGUGAUAAGGACUGGCAUGUAAUACUGUCUUUGAGUUAACAAUUACACGAAGUUGUCACAUAAAAUGUUAUAAUGUGGACAGACCUUUACAUUUAAAUCGACUGUUGGUGCGUCUAUGACGCCUCAGUGUUUACGGUGUCUGCAUAUUUUCAACCGAUACUGAUAUCAGGAUAAAAUGAGCAAAGAUUUUCUCUUAUUCACUUGAUUUCUGAAUAUUCUUAGAAUUCCAAUUUGUAUUUGGUAAUGUCAGUGAUUGUGAAAGAAAAAUGUUUGAGUGCGAUCACGAUAUUUCUAAGCACUGUUUCUAAAUCCUUGCAUCACAAAAUCAACACCCGGUACUUCCCCCCCCCCCCCACCACCAACAAUCAUAUUUUGCUCUUUUUGAUUCAUCGAAAGAUUUACCCUCCUUCUCCUGUGAACACGGGAACAGACUAAAGUAACAACAGACGGUGCUAAUUAUAUUCUUAUAAUCAAUGAAGUUGGAUCUCUGGUAUUUAUAUUAUAGAUGUCUAUUUCGUGAACCAAUAUAUUGUAAAACCUCGAAUAGAAGCCCUGGGCUUCUUUUCGAUAAUGGCUUCUUUUCGAGAUGGGCUUCUAUUCGAGGCUAAUUUUGCAAUGUAAACGGGGUGGGGGGCUUUUUUCAAAAUGGAUGCUGUAAUUUUCAGGAAUUACUACCAUAAAACAAUAAAUAGGGCCACUGUAACAUCAGUCUGUAUCAUAGGAGUGUAUUAACCGACAUUCAUCACCUAAACUACGGUACUGUAUAAAUCAAGCGUGUUUUAAAUUUAUUUUGUUUAUUUGAAAUUCAUGUACAGUGUAUGUACUGUACUAUCUCGAAAAAAGUCUAUACUAUCUUGAGGCUCCUAUUCGAGGCUUUACGGUAUAACAAUUUCCUGUCAGGACCUCACGUAGAAAAUAAUAGAAUCGUCCGAAUAGUGUGUAUAUAACGCAAAGUUAACAAAAUUGCUGAAUAUUGUCUUACAAUUAACACGGUGGAUAUAUUCUAAGCCCAUGGUACAAUUUAUUUAGUAAAACAACCGAAAAGUAAUUGGAGGAUCUAGGGUUAAAGUCAAUUCAUAGUUUGAAGUGCUUAUACCCGUAUCAAGGUCAAUCGAGAUACACAAAAAAUACACACAACAUAGGUUUAUGUCGAUGUCGAACUUGGAUACGGGCAUGCGUAGUUUAAUCGACGAAUUGGCUUAUAUGUACUUCUAAUAAAAAAGUAAUAAAACAAUAAAAUUGGACUGUCAUAAAGACUAUUCUGAAUUUGAUUUUUCAGUUUAUAGGUACAAUGACGAAUGUAUCGUACCGAAACUUUUUGUGCGCAAAUAAAAUUGGUAUAUUUCCCCGAA